UGAAUAUUCAACGAAAACUGAAAACGAGGCAACUCUGACCUCUUGACGUCAAUCAGCUUUCUAUAAUGAAGAACUGACGGAUGUCGGUGCACAAAGACACAAUAGACCUUUUUACAGAGCGUGGCACUAACGACGUCAUCGCCUACCGCGCGCCGAUUUGGUUCGCCUUUGAUACAUUGGCGUUUGUUAACUGCGUGAGUCUAAAGCCAAAGCGACAAUUUUUCUUUUCGAACUUUAACCAGCACGUACAGCGAUGCAUCGAAUCAGUACGCACUUAGGCCUACCAAACGGUUUGGUUUGUACCUCCUGAAUACUUCCCAGAACGUGCGGCAUUUAGGGAAUGACUAACAUGAAGAGGAAGUUUUAGACAAGUCUGGUGGUACUGAGAGGUGAACUAGGCACUCAGUGUUGCUGUACAGUGUACUGUGUUUUACCUUUUGGAGUGUGUAGUUGCCGUGCUAUCAUGGUUAUUUCUGUGUUCUUGGAUGUACCAAUGUAUCUGCAAAGGGGAAAUAUUUGAAGUUUCACAUGGAAAUUUUUGUCACAUGGAUAAACUUUAUUGCCAUUUGAAUGACAUUCACUGGUGGUUGCCAAGGGAUACUCUACAUCGAAGUCUACCACAGUCAUUUAGAGAGACUUUCUCCAAAAAAGACCUGCAUCAUUGAUGCAACAGAACUAUUUACAGAACGUCAUUCAGAUAGGGGUUUACAAACAGCUUUCUUCUCCAGUUACAAACACCAUCACACUGUGAAAGCAUUGGUUGCAAUAUCGCCAUGUGGUCAUGUUAUGUUUGUGUCACGACUAGUUACUGGUCCCAUAUCAGACAGGGAACUUACCAAGGAGUCUGGUUUUCUCAAUAACUUUUGUGCCUGGAGAUCAAGUCAUGGCAAACAAAGAGUUUGUUAUUGCUGACAUUCUCAUGGAUGUUGGACAUCUCUUGUGCUACCUCCUUUUCUAAAAGAAGGAGGUCAGUUUACUGAGGAGCAAGUCAUUAAAUGUCGACAAGUGGCUUCUCUUAGAAUCGACGUAGAGGGGUGAUCAGACAGAUAAAGAACUAUAGAAUUUUGCAAGGUAUAAAUAACACUUAGUUCAAGCAUGUAUCUUUUAUAUAAGAUAUUUACUGUUUGUUCAUAUCUAACAAAUUUCCAUCCACCUCUUGUACGAUAGAUUUAAUUUUUGUACGGUAAAUUAAUAGUAAUUAGUGUCAAUUUUAGUUUGUGAAGGUCAAUAUAUAUUGGCUCUUGUUAUCAUUCUGUACUCGUCUGUGUAAUGCUCCAGGAUACACUACCACUUGCUGUUCAAUUUCAUUUUCAUCAUGUACACCAUUUUAAUAGUAAUAGGGUAGGUGUACCUAAUUGUGGACACUCCCUGGUAAUUUGAGUUACAAUCACUGUUUUCUCUGGUAGCCUGCACGAAGAGACAGUGAAACAUGUCCAAUAUACGCACCAAUGUCUAAGCUUCGUAACGGUGACUAGAAUCGCACAAC